rnacentral:tRNA from 1 species
GUGGGCGUAGCUCAGUUGGUAGAGCCCUGGAUUGUGGCUCCAGUUGUCGCGGGUUC